AGAACAGCGGUCCGUUGCUGACUUCACUGUGCUCCUUCACGGAAAAAAACGUCAACGUCGAGACAUGGACGCCUUUCUUGGAAAGUACUUCCUUGUGGUGAUGGCGGUCUUAAUAGCUGCGCUUAUCUUGGCCCCCAACGAAGCUGAAGGAUUUGGUCCAGCGCUUGACAAUGCCAUUCACGACGCCAUAGGAAGAUCUGAGGAAAUCACCAAGAAGUGAGAAGGCCAGCCUCGGUUAUACAGUGCAGUCAAUGUUUAGUGUAUUUACGACGCUUCUAUGGCGUUAAAUAAAAUGAAUGAAGCAAAAAUGUGCUACCCAGUGAAAAAAUACAACUGGAUAU